AUUGAACGCUGGCGGCAGGCCUAAUACAUGCAAGUCGAGCGGAGCUGGGGACGGGUGAGAAAUGCCUAGGAAUCUGCCUGGUAGUGAGGGAUACCGUACGGGAACGGGCGCUUAUAAAGCAUACUAUCAGAUGAGCCUAGGGCGGAUUAGCUGGUUGGAGUGGUAAAGGCCCAACAAGGCGGCGAUCCGUAGGCGGUCUGAGAGGAUGAUCAGUCACACGGGAACUGAGACACGGUCCAGACUCCUACGGGAGGCAGCAGUAGGGAAGAUUGGGCAAUGGGCGAAAGCCUGAUCGAGCCAGGCCGCGUGUGUGAAGAAGGUCUUCGGAUUGUAAAGCACUUUAAUUUGAGAAGCGGUACCUACCCAAUAAGCACCGGCUAACUACGUGCCAGCAGCCGCGGUAAUUC
rnacentral:rRNA from 1 species